rnacentral:rRNA from 1 species
AUGACGGCUGCCGCGACGGCGACGACGGCGGCGGCGGGGAAGCUCCCAUUCCCGCUGCUCACGAGGACGAACUACGCGGCGUGGGCGAUGAGGAUGAAGUACCUCUUGCGCGCCAACGGCGCGUGGGGUGCCGUUGAUCGCGAGGCCUCAUCGGAGGUCGACAAGGGCAAGGAGGAGAUGGCCAUGACGAUCAUCUCCCAGUCCAUCGACGACUCGACGCUGCUGCGAGUUGCGGAGAAGGAGACCGCAGCCGAUGUGUGGGCGGCGCUACGCUCCAUGCAUGUGGGCGUCGAGCGCGUCCGAGAGGCGAGGGUUCAAUCCUUGCGCUCGGAAUUUGAUGGCCUCAUGAUGGGUGAUGCGGAGUCCGUGGAUGAUUUCGCGGCGAGGUUCACGACGCUCGUGGGGCGCAUCCGUGAGCUUGGUGAUGCGAUGGAGGAGAAAUAUGUCGUGAAGAAGCUUCUCCGAGCCGUCUCCAACAAGUUCAUCCACGUUGCGUCAUCGAUUGCAUUGUUCGGCGACACCAAUAAGAUGGCCAUGGAGGAGGCCAUUGGUUCACUCAAGGCGCACGAGGAGCUCGUCAAGGGGCGGGAGACGACACAUAAAGAAGAGCAGCUCCUCAUGGCGAGAGGGCAUGACUCAUCGCGAGGACGCGGCCGCGGUGGCCGUGGCCGUGGCCGCGGACAUGGCCGUGGUGGAGGGCGCAGAGACAAGAGCGAGGUGAUGACGAAGACGAUGCCGCGUGACUCUUCAGCGAGUGGAGCGUUGGUGCCGAGCGAUUCGGCGGCGAUGGCGGCUGCCGUGACGGCGACGACGGCGGCGGCGGGGAAGCUCCCAUUCCCGCUGCUCACGAGGACGAACUACGCGGCGUGGGCGAUGAGGAUGAAGUACCUGUUGCGCGCCAACGGCGCGUGGGGUGCCGUUGAUCGCGAGGCCUCAUCGGAGGUCGACAAGGGCAAGGAGGAGAUGGCCAUGACGAUCAUCUCCCAGUCCAUCGACGACUCGACGCUGCUGCGAGUUGCGGAGAAGGAGACCGCAGCCGAUGUGUGGGCGGCGCUACGCUCCAUGCAUGUGGGCGUCGAGCGCGUCCGAGAGGCGAGGGUUCAAUCCUUGCGCUCGGAAUUUGAUGGCCUCAAGAUGGGUGAUGCGGAGUCCGUGGAUGAUUUCGCGGCGAGGUUCACGACGCUCGUGGGGCGCAUCCGUGAGCUUGGUGAUGCGAUGGAGGAGAAAUAUGUCGUGAAGAAGCUUCUCCGAGCCGUCUCCAACAAGUUCAUCCACGUUGCGUCAUCGAUUGCAUUGUUCGGCGACACCAACAAGAUGGCCAUGGAGGAGGCCAUUGGUUCACUCAAGGCGCAUGAGGAGCUCGUCAAGGGGCGGGAGACGACACAUAAAGAAGAGCAGCUCCUCAUGGCGAGAGGGCAUGACUCAUCGCGAGGACGCGGCCGCGGUGGCCGUGGUGGAGGGCGCAGAGACAAGAGCGAGGUACAAUGUUAUAACUGUGAUGACUUUGGACAUUUUGCUUGGGAGUGUCCGGAGAAGAAGAAGGAGAACGAGGAGAAGGCACUGCUGGCCGGCUACGGCAGCGACGGACCGGCUCUCCUAUGA